AUGAAGGCCGGGCGCCCAGCUCUGCCCUCGUCACCCCACCUCCAGGGAGGAAAUGUGGUUCCAGGCCCUCGCCGGCCUCCGUCUUCCCACCUGGACGGCAACUCUGAUCGGGCUGUUUGCACCUGCGAAAGGCCUCCCCGGAGACCAGCCCCUGGUCUGGCAGGGCCCCCGGCCUCCUUCCCACUGAAGUCGGCGUGGAGGUCGCUGGCCUCCAACGAUGAGCCCGCCCGAGCUUGGGGGGUCUGGGGAGGACCCGGCGCUUGGACCCCGUCUUCCAACAGAAGCCAGGGGACCGAGGAACCCGAAGCUCCUGCCCAACGGCUCAGUCGGCACGUCCCCGCCCUUCGAGAUCCAGCGUUUCCUUUUGUCGCCUCGUCAUGUGACGAAUGUCAUUCGAAACGCCCGUCAGUCCUCAGCGUUUAUCGCAAAAGCCACCCCCGCCUGGAUUCCCACCCCCGCCCCGGAAGCGAAGGUUGGCCGCGUUCAGCUUUUCGCCUGUCUUGGCCUUGCUUUGGUUUUGCGGGUUUGGCACUUGGCUCCCCGUUUCCAAAGGACCUGCCGUUGUGCUGUGCCCCUCAUCUCGUCAUCCUUCCCUCCAGGUGGCAGAGACGCAUCGAGCGCGCCCAGCGCCCCGUCCCCCAUAGAGGGAAGCCCCACUUUCCAUUCAACCUGACCCAACGUUCAUCCAUUAGUUAACGUAUGGACUAAAAGUUCUGAAUGAGGCUCACAGGUACAUCAGCUCCCCGCUGUGUCUCCGUCCUACUCUCUCCUCACCCCCAGGGCAGCCCCCGGGGUACGUUCUCCAGUCUCUUGUGUCUCCACCACCAGUUCCUCCCUGAGCUUUUCCGCAAAGCUGGGAGAACCCACCCUCCUGUUUUUCAUGGCGGGGGCGGGGGGGGGGGGGGGGGGGGGGGGGCGGCUGGUCCAGCCCAGUUUUCUCUCUGGAUACAUCCAUCUGGACGGCGUUGUCUCACCCCUGCUCGCGGGGCUCCGUCUUCCCCUUUGAUGGCCCCGAUCCUGGUCCCACAUCUUCCGGCUUGUGGUUUUGAAACUGACAGCACUAAGGACUCAAACCCAGCCUAAACCCUGUUCGGGAGUUGAACCCACGGUUGUUAACAUAGAAUCCCUCACCCGGUGUCCGGACUUACGGAGGGUCAGCUUCUUUGUGUCCCAGCACAGAAGGAAAUCAAGUGAUAAGCAAGAAAUAGAUUUAUGAAGACAGGACGCUCGUGAGAGACGCCAGCGGGCAGGCAGGGGGCCUCUGCCCCGAGGGUCGGGUGGGCUCUGUUUCUAAUCCACCCGGAGUGGGGCUGGGGAAGGACCCCCGCUUCCUCCUUCGUCAAAGUGCUUUUUCCCUUCCGCAGAGGGCGGUCCUUCAACGCCUGCCCUUGGUGCUAAGGAUCUUCUUGGGGCUGAACUUGAACGCAGGCCUCAUUUUAAUGACCUGAGGCAUAGCUGGUGCUUUUAUUUGUGGUUUUGUUAAGCAAGCCGGCUUCUUUCUGAUGACUUUCUGGAGCGACCAUUAACCUCCGUGGUCUCCCGAAGCCCCCUAGGUUUCCCUGUCUCUCUGUGGUCCCCUCCUGGGACUUGCACAACUGCCCGUGUGACUGUCCUGCUCCAUGCCUGUCAGCUGUGUGCUCUCCUUUGCUGUUUGGCCUCCGGGAAGUCAGCGGUGGGGGUGGGGGGGCUGUGCACU
rnacentral:lncRNA from 1 species